GUGAGGAAUAUUGGUCAAUGGGCGAGAGCCUGAACCAGCCAAGUCGCGUGAAGGAAGAAGGAUCUAUGGUUCGUAAACUUCUUUUGCAGGGGAAUAAAGUGCAGGACGUGUCCUGUUUUGUAUGUACCCUGAGAAUAAGGAUCGGCUAACUCCGUGCCAGCAGCCGCGGUAAUACGGAGGAUCCGAGCGUUAUCCGGAUUUAUUGGGUUUAAAGGGUGCGUAGGUGGUUUGAUAAGUCAGCGGUGAAAGUUUGCAGCUUAACUGUAAAAAUGCCGUGUAAACUGUCGGACUUGAGUGUAAAUGAGGGAGGCGGAAUGCGUGGUGUAGCGGUGAAAUGCAUAGAUAUCACGCAGAACUCCGAUUGCGAAGGCAGCUUACUAAGCUACAACUGACACUGAAGCACGAAAGCGUGGGGAUCAAACAGGAUUAGAUACCCCAGUAGUCC
rnacentral:rRNA from 1 species